rnacentral:rRNA from 1 species
ACUCCUACGGGAGGCAGCAGUAGGGAAUCUUCCACAAUGGGCGAAAGCCUGAUGGAGCAACGCCGCGUGGGUGAAGAAGGUCUUCGGAUCGUAAAACCCUGUUGUUAGAGAAGAAAGUGCGUGAGAGUAACUGUUCACGUUUCGACGGUAUCUAACCAGAAAGCCACGGCUAACUACGUGCCAGCAGCCGCGGUAAUACGUAGGUGGCAAGCGUUAUCCGGAUUUAUUGGGCGUAAAGGGAACGCAGGCGGUCUUUUAAGUCUGAUGUGAAAGCCUUCGGCUUAACCGGAGUAGUGCAUUGGAAACUGGAGACUUGAGUGCAGAAGAGGAGAGUGGAACUCCAUGUGUAGCGGUGAAAUGCGUAGAUAUAUGGAAGAACACCAGUGGCGAAAGCGGCUCUCUGGUCUGUAACUGACGCUGAGGUUCGAAAGCGUGGGUAGCAAACAGGAUUAGAUA